rnacentral:tRNA from 3 species
GAUGGUGUAGCUCAGUAGGAUAGAACAGCAGCCUUCUAAGCUGUCGGUAGGUGGUUCGAAUCCACCCACCAUCGCCA